CCAAGCACCACCCGCUCUCUUCUCUCCAGGUCGUGGACACCUGGUUCUCACCGGAAGCCGAGCAUCCAAGUCCUUUUGGCCGUGCCCUAAUUUCUCGAUGUCGCUGGUUGAUGUUGGUGUGAGUGUUACCGAUGGUUCCUAUUUGACCUUGGGCAAGGAGCCCUUGGAUCUCCCGAUUGCCAUCAACUAUUGCCCCUUUGCUUUCUGAUCAUUCAUUUCACUCCAGCCGAUCUCUGCCCUAGUGCUGGCGUCACCCUAUUCUUCUGCCCGGCUCACCGCCACAACAGCAUCCUGAUUCCCUCUGAGAGAGAUCUCGGAUUUAGUUCAGGGCUCCGACGAGGAUUAAACCAUGGGAGGCUAGCUGCGACCACCAGAUCUUCUACUUUGGCUAUCCCUUACCACUGAUGUUAGUGCUAGAUUUUUCCUCUUGGCUUGACGUGAAGCUUUCGAUUUGAGUCUUCCAAAUAUACAAUUCCGGCCAGACAACACUGUUCAGAUAAGAAAUUAGAGGCUGAUAGAGGGAUAUUUGAAUUGAAGGGGGAGAUCCAUUUAUGCACAGCUGCUUUUGGGUUCUUCACUGAGCUAUUACAGAUUUGAUUUGGGUAGUAGGUAGUGAUUAUGGAGUCGCUUGGAAUAUCCUGUCUGCUAGUCCCACGUCACAUCAUAAGAUGGUAUUUAUUUUACUCUUGUUUUCUUACAUAUUUUCUUUAUGGUAAUGGUGUUGUGUUGGUAUUUAGCCAUGUGGCUUCUUUACCAUUUUCAGUAUUGUGUUGUGUUUAAGCCAUGCCAGCACGCAUUGUAUCUUUUUGGUUUGUAUGAGCUUUCUUUUUGUUU